GGGGGUGUAGCUCAAUGGUAGAGCUGGCGGCUCAUAACCGUCUGGUCGCAGGUUCGAUCCCUGCCGCCCCUA
rnacentral:tRNA from 1 species